UACGUAGGUGGCAAGCGUUAUCCGGAUUUAUUGGGCGUAAAGGGAACGCAGGCGGUCUUUUAAGUCUGAUGUGAAAGCCUUCGGCUUAACCGGAAUAGUGCAUUGGAAACUGGGAGACUUGAGUGCAGAAGAGGAGAGUGGAACUCCAUGUGUAGCGGUGAAAUGCGUAGAUAUAUGGAAGAACACCAGUGGCGAAAGCGGCUCUCUGGUCUGUAACUGACGCUGAGGUUCAAAAGCGUGGGUAGCAAACAGG
rnacentral:rRNA from 1 species